GGUCGAUGAUGAGAAGUAAAAGGUCUGAUAUCCAGGUCUCCUCCCGGUCCUUCUGCCCCUCCCAGCAGCCCCUCUUAAUUUUCCCAGCAUGCUCUAGUUGUGCAUCGCUGGUUUGAGGUGGCGGCUGAUAUUAUGGACGUUCUUGCUGAAUAAGAGUCUUUUUAGAGAACAAGUGAGACGUCGACUGCAGCGUCCGACAGAAACACGACACACAGGAGGGCCGGACGGGAGGAGGACGUUACACUGGUGCAUGAUCUCAAGUUUUCAAGCUGAGACC